CAGCUCUUCAAGUGGUCAGGAUGAUUAUUGGGCCUAAAGCAUCCGUAGCCGGCGCUGUAAGUUUUCGGUUAAAUCUGUACGCUCAACGUACAGGCUGCCGGGAAUACUGCAGCGCUAGGGAGUGGGAGAGGUAGACGGUACUCGGUAGGAAGGGGUAAAAUCCUUUGAUCUAUUGAUGACCACCUGUGGCGAAGGCGGUCUACCAGAACACGUCCGACGGUGAGGGAUGAAAGCUGGGGGAGCAAACCGGAUUAGAUACCCGAGUAGUCC
rnacentral:rRNA from 1 species